rnacentral:rRNA from 1 species
ACUCCUACGGGAGGCAGCAGUAGGGAAUCUUCCACAAUGGACGAAAGUCUGAUGGAGCAACGCCGCGUGAGUGAAGAAGGGUUUCGGCUCGUAAAACUCUGUUGUUAAAGAAGAACAUAUCUGAGAGUAACUGUUCAGGUAUUGACGGUAUUUAACCAGAAAGCCACGGCUAACUACGUGCCAGCAGCCGCGGUAAUACGUAGGUGGCAAGCGUUGUCCGGAUUUAUUGGGGCGUAAAGCGAGCGCAGGCGGUUUUUUAAAGUCUGAUGUGAAAGCCUUCGGCUCAACCGAAGAAGUGCAUCGGAAACUGGGAAACUUGAGUGCAGAAGAGGACAGUGGAACUCCAUGUGUAGCGGUGAAAUGCGUAGAUAUAUGGAAGAACACCAGUGGCGAAGGCGGCUGUCUGGUCUGUAACUGACGCUGAGGCUCGAAAGUAUGGGUAGCAAACAGGAUUAGAUACCCUGGUAGGAUAGCG